rnacentral:rRNA from 1 species
AACGAACGCUGGCGGCAGGCCUAACACAUGCAAGUCGAGCGCUCACUUCGGUGGGAGCGGCGGACGGGUUAGUAACGCGUGGGAAUAUGCCCGGUACUAAGGAAUAGCCUUUGGAAACGAAGAGUAAUACCUUAUACGCCCUUCGGGGGAAAGAUUUAUCGGUAUCGGAUUAGCCCGCGUAAGAUUAGAUAGUUGGUGGGGUAAUGGCCUACCAAGUCUACGAUCUUUAGCUGGUUUUAGAGGAUGAUCAGCAACACUGGGACUGAGACACGGCCCAGACUCCUACGGGAGGCAGCAGUGGGGAAUCUUAGACAAUGGGCGCAAGCCUGAUCUAGCCAUGCCGCGUGAGUGAAGAAGGCCUUAGGGUCGUAAAACUCUUUCGCCAGAGAUGAUAAUGACAGUAUCUGGUAAAGAAACCCCGGCUAACUCCGUGCCAGCAGCCGCGGUAAUACGGAGGGGGUUAGCGUUGUUCGGAAUUACUGGGCGUAAAGCGUACGUAGGCGGAUUGGAAAGUAUGGGGUGAAAUCCCAGGGCUCAACCCUGGAACUGCCCUGUAAACUAUCAGUCUAGAGUUCGAGAGAGGUGAGUGGAAUUCCAAGUGUAGAGGUGAAAUUCGUAGAUAUUUGGAGGAACACCAGUGGCGAAGGCGGCUCACUGGCUCGAUACUGACGCUGAGGUACGAAAGUGUGGGGAGCAAACAGGAUUAGAUACCCUGGUAGUCCACACCGUAAACGAUGAAUGCCAGACGUCGGGGGGCUUGCCCUUCGGUGUCACACCUAACGGAUUAAGCAUUCCGCCUGGGGAGUACGGUCGCAAGAUUA